rnacentral:rRNA from 1 species
AUUGAACACUGGCGGCAGGCCUAACACAUGCCAGUCGAACGGUAACAGAAAGCAGCUUGCUGCUUUGCUGACGAGUGGCGGACGGGUGAGUAAUGUCUGGGAAACUGCCUGAUGGAGGGAGAUAACUACUGGAAACGGUAGCUAAUACCGCAUAACGUCGCAAGACCAAAGAGGGGGACCUUCGGGCCUCUUGCCAUCGGAUGUGCCCAGAUGGGAUUAGCUAGUAGGUGGGGUAACGGCUCACCUAGGCGACGAUCCCUAGCUGGUCUGAGAGGAUGACCAGCCACACUGGAACUGAGACACGGUCCAGACUCCUACGGGAGGCAGCAGUGGGGAAUAUUGCACAAUGGGCGCAAGCCUGAUGCAGCCAUGCCGCGUGUAUGAAGAAGGCCUUCGGGUUGUAAAGUACUUUCAGCGGGGAGGAAGGGAGUAAAGUUAAUACCUUUGCUAAUUGACGUUACCCGCAGAAGAAGCACCGGCUAACUCCGUG